UGGGGAAUUUUGGGCAAUGGGCGCAAGCCUGACCCAGCGACGCCGCGUGGAGGAUGAAGGCCUUCGGGUUGUAAACUCCUGUCAGGUGGGAAGAAAUCUCCGCCGGCCAAUACCCGGCGGCGUUGACGGUACCACCAAAGGAAGCCCCGGCUAACUCCGUGCCAGCAGCCGCGGUAAUACGGAGGGGGCAAGCGUUAUUCGGAUUUACUGGGCGUAAAGCGCACGUAGGCGGCACUGCAAGUCGUAGGUGAAAGCCCUCGGCUCAACCGAGGAAGUGCCUUCGAAACUGCGCUGCUUGAGGCCGGGAGGGGGGAGCGGAAUUCCCAGUGUAGGGGUGAAAUGCGUAGAUACUGGGAGGAACACCGGUGGCGAAGGCGGCUCCCUGGACCGGUACUGACGCUGAGGUGCGAAAGCGUGGGUAGCAAACAG
rnacentral:rRNA from 1 species